CCGGCGCACGGGUGAGUAACACGUAUCCAACCUGCCGAUAACUCGGGGAUAGCCUUUCGAAAGAAAGAUUAAUAUCCGAUAGCAUAUCAAGAUCGCAUGAUCUUGAUAUUAAAGAAUUUCGGUCAUCGAUGGGGAUGCGUUCCAUUAGCUUGUUGGCGGGGUAACGGCCCACCUAGGCAUCGAUGGAUAGGGGUUCUGAGAGGAAGGUCCCCCACAUUGGAACUGAGACACGGUCCAAACUCCUACGGAAGGCAGCAG
rnacentral:rRNA from 1 species